rnacentral:lncRNA from 1 species
AGUGGGUAUCCUAACACUGUUACACCUCCAAAGGAAACUACUGGCUUUGACAGUGGCCACAGACAGAGGCAGCUACAGGAAGUGUGUGUGUGUGUGUGUGUGUGUGUGUGUGUGUUUCCUCAAUUAAGUCCUAGUGGAGGACCUAGUAAAAUCCUGGGUCAGCUGAAAAGGGUAGCUGUACUCAAUAUUUUUCAAGUCCUCCGUACACCCCCAAUCAACAAUUCAUGGGUGGGGGUGCUAAUAACUAGAUUCUCGCUAGCUAUGUGGAUGAAGUCUUUUUUUUUUCUUCCCAAAAAAAGGGUGAAGCAGAUGGGGACAGCAAGAAUGCUGGAAGAUUUUGGAGAGUCCCCCCCAUGUGCCAAGGUGUUGGACAUUUGUGGAUAUCUGGAGCCAGCCCGGGGGGAGGGGAAAGAAAUAUUUCUUGAACGCGCUGCUCUGCUCGUCUGAAAUAGCAUCUCGGUGCCCUAAACAUGCAGAAACCCUGAAUGAAACACACGAGUGGAAGUGGCAGAAGGCUUAAAGUAAAGCCAGCCUGCAGUGAUCAGAGCUAUUUUUAGGUUUCUAAUGAAGAAAGCAGCUGUAUUCAGAAAGGCUGUCACCCACUGCCUGUGAGACCAAUUUGCUCUGUUCCGGGGUUCCAGCGUUCAUCGGCUGUAAACACCUCCUCUGGGACCCUCGGAAAGGGACCCCAAACAGUAAUUACUGUGGGUUUGGGGUGAUCUAUAUUAUUUAUUUAUUUUUUAGGAGUUUAGAGAAGGAUCUUGGUUAACAGACCUACUAGAAUCAGGAAAUAAUAUGCUAAAUAAUAAGCCAUUCUGGAACCAGCCUGGUCCCCUACAAAGCAGCUGUGUGAUCCUGGAGGAGCUCACGACCAACUCCAGCCUGCUCUUGCUGUGACCUUCGAGGCUGUCUCGGGGUCUCUUUUAUUCUCUUUCAGCCAAACCUCGAAGCAAGAAUAUAGAAGCCCGAAGACGACAUUCCCCGGGAACAGAAAGGCAAGCACAGAAGUGUGACCCACUUUUAGAAACAAGAGCGAGUGAAAGAGGAUGAUUCACUGUUGUGUGCAGAGGCACCGAAAAGUCUAGGUGUGUGAGCGAGAAAGCUGUCACCCUCUCCUGACAAAAGGAGCUUCGGCGGCCCGGCCCCCUCCCGGGGCUCGCAUUCCCUGUCCUCGCAUGUCACCACGCGAUGACGCUGACACCCCAACCACACGCAGGUUUUGUCAAACACAGCGGAACCGGACACGACCUCCCCGAAGCUGCUCUGACUGUUGAGUCAAGCAGGCCCUCCCAUCUCCAAAUGUUAACUCGUCGUCCUCCAUGUCCCCAGAACUCGUGACAGUGGGAGAGCUCUGCAAAUGUGGGUCACCGAUCACACCCAGAGCUGUCUCAGAAAAAUGCAAAGGAGGAUGGCCAACGGGGAAUUGAAGAGACGGCGGCAAGUGGCAAUCAAGGUGGGGGCCUGCGCACCCAGAGGCACCUCACGGUGCAAAGGCACCUGGGUGGGGCCACGGGGGACCUCAGUGUGGGCUCCCAAGUUCAGCCCACCUAAAAGGAGUUUGGAAAUCUCUUCUAGGUUGAAAAAAGAAAGGGGGAGGGGGAAGCUUGAGGAAGUAAACAAGAAGCAACAAUAUCAUCCAUCUGUCCCAAGACGUGGCACCCAAGGCUGGCCCUCCCCUCCUGGAAAACUUGCCUUCUUCUUAAACUUGGACUCCAGAGAUUAGAUAAGACCUUCCUAAAGCUGCCAUGUUCCUGAGCAAGCACUCUCGCUUGGAAAUUCUUCCCCUGGCCCAUGAUGGUCCUCAGCCCUGCACUCCAGACUCCGCCGGGAGCUUUGUGAUAAUACUGAUGGCCAGGUCCAAGCUCAGCCCAAGUCAGACGUCUGAGGGGUAAGACUGCAGCUGCACUAUUUUUCUCCAGCUGUCUUCAGCAGCCCAACUUGAAUUCCUCCUUGUUUCCUCCUCACAGGGGCUCAGAGCAGUCACUUAGGCCCUUCACAUCCCAGGGCUCCGCCUCCCUGCCCUUCACAGGGGCUCCCAGCCACAGGUGACGGCUGAGGCCUGGACAUGUGUACGUCCAAAUGGAAAUGCACAGAAGGCAGAACAUGUUCACAGGGCACCUAAGAUUUAGUACAGACCUAAAUAAAAAAAAAAAAAAAAAAAGAGGAAAAGAAGGUAAAGUAGAGCACCUACAGAAUGGGAGCAAAGUUUUACCACAUGUACUUCAGAUAGAACAUUAAUCUCUAGGAUCUAUAAAGAACUCAAAAAACUUAACACCAAGAAAAACCAAAUAAUGCGAUCAAUAAAUGGGCCAAGGAACUGAACAGACACUUCUCAGAAGGUGAUAUGCAAUCAACCAACAAAUAUAUGAAAAAAUGUUCACCAUCUCUAGCAAUUAGAGAAAUGCAAAUCAAAACUACUCUAAGAUUCCAUCUCACUCCAGUCAGAAUGGCAGCUAUUAUGAAGACAAAACAGAAAUGUUGGCGAGGAUGUGGGGGGAAAGGCACACUCAUACAUUGCUGGUGGGACUGCAAAUUGGUGCAGCCAAUAUAGAAAGCAGUAUGGAGAUUCCUUGGAAAUCUGAGAAUGGAACCACCAUUCGACCCAGCUAUCCCGCUCCUUGGUCUAUACCCAAAGGACUUAAAACCAGCACACUACAGGGACACAGCCACAUCAAUGUUUUUAGCAGCACAAUUCACAACAGCUAAACUGUGGAACCAACCUAGCUGCCCUUCAUUAGAUGAAGGGAUAGGGAAACCUUGGUAUAUAUACACAAUGGAAUAUUAUUCAGCAUUAAAGAGAAUAAAAUCAUGGCCUUUGCAAGUAAAUGGAUGGAGUUGGAGAAUAUAAUGCUAAGUAAACCAAUCCCAAAAAACCAAAUGCCUAAUGUUUUCUUUGAUAUGAGGAUGCUGACUCAUAAUGGCGAAGGUGGG